rnacentral:rRNA from 1 species
UUUUUCGGAAGGUAUGCUUAAAGAGGGGCUUGCGUCACAUUAGUUAGUUGGCAGGGUAAAAGCCUACCAAGACUAUGAUGUGUAGCUGGACUGAGAGGUUGAACAGCCACAUUGGGACUGAGACACGGCCCAAACUCCUACGGGAGGCAGCAGUAGGGAAUUUUCGGCAAUGGAGGAAACUCUGACCGAGCAACGCCGCGUGAACGAUGAAGUAUUUCGGUAUGUAAAGUUCUUUUAUUGAAGAAGAAAAAAUAGUGGAAAAACUAUCUUGACGAUAUUCAAUGAAUAAGCCCCGGCAAACUAUGUGCCAGCAGCCGCGGUAAUACAUAGGGGGCGAGCGUUAUCCGGAAUUAUUGGGCGUAAAGGGUGCGUAGGCGGUUUAAUAAGUCUAUAGUUUAAUUUCAGUGCUUAACACUGUCCUGCUAUAGAAACUAUUAGACUAGAGUGAGAUAGAGGCAAGUGGAAUUCCAUGUGUAGCGGUAAAAUGCGUAAAUAUAUGGAGGAACACCAGAGGCGUAGGCGGCUUGCUGGGUCUUUACUGACGCUGAGGCACGAAAGCGUGGGGAGCAAACAGGAUUAGAUACCCUGGUAGUCCACGCCGUAAACGAUGAGUACUAAGUGUCGGGAUUACUCGGUACUGAAGUUAACACAUUAAGUACUCCGCCUGAGUAGUACGUACGCAAGUAUGAAACUUAAAGGAAUUGACGGGACUCCGCACAAGCGGUGGAUCAUGUUGUUUAAUUCGAAGAUACACGAAAAACCUUACCAGGUCUUGACAUACUCUGCAAAGCUAUAGCAAUAUAGUGGAGGUUAUCAGGGAUACAGGUGGUGCAUGGUUGUCGUCAGCUCGUGUCGUGAGAUGUUAGGUUAAGUCCUAAAACGAGCGCAACCCUUGUCAUUAGUUGCCAGCAUGUCAUGAUGGGCACUUUAAUGAGACUGCCAAUGAAAAAUUGGAGGAAGGUGAGGAUCACGUCAAAUCAUCAUGCCCCUUAUGAUCUGGGCUACAAACGUGAUACAAUGGCUGUUACAAAGAGUAGCUGAAACGUAAGUUUAUAGCCAAUCUCAUAAAAGCAGUCUCAGUUCGGAUUGAAGUCUGCAACUCGACUUCAUGAAGUUGGAAUCGCUAGUAAUCGCGAAUCAG